CCUACGGGCGGCAGCAGUGGGGAAUAUUGGACAAUGGGCGAAAGCCUGAUCCAGCCAUGCCGCGUGUGUGAAGAAGGCCUUCGGGUUGUAAAGCACUUUCAGUGGGGAAGAAAGCCUUGGGGCUAAUACCCUCGAGGAAGGACAUCACCCACAGAAGAAGCACCGGCUAACUCCGUGCCAGCAGCCGCGGUAAUACGGAGGGGUGCGAGCGUUAAUCGGAAUUACUGGGCGUAAAGCGCGCGUAGGCGGUCUGAUAAGCCGGUUGUGAAAGCCCCGGGCUCAACCUGGGAACGGCAUCCGGAACUGUCAGGCUAGAGUGCAGGAGAGGAAGGUAGAAUUCCCGGUGUAGCGGUGAAAUGCGUAGAGAUCGGGAGGAAUACCAGUGGCGAAGGCGGCCUUCUGGACUGACACUGACGCUGAGGUGCGAAAGCGUGGGUAGCAAACAGGAUUAGAUACCCCAGUAGUC
rnacentral:rRNA from 1 species